rnacentral:rRNA from 1 species
AUUGAACGCUGGCGGCAUGCCUAACACAUGCAAGUCGAACGGCAGCGCGGGCUUCGGCCUGGCGGCGAGUGGCGAACGGGCGAGUAAUGCAUCGGAACGUGCCCAGCAGUGGGGGAUAGCCCGGCGACAGCCGGAUUAAUACCGCAUACGACCAGAGGGUGAAAGCGGGGGACCGAAAGGCCUCGCGCUAUUGGAGCGGCCGAUGUCGGAUUAGCUAGUUGGUGGGGUAAAGGCUUACCAAGGCGACGAUCCGUAGCUGGUCUGAGAGGACGACCAGCCACACUGGAACUGAGACACGGCCCAGACUCCUACGGGAGGCAGCAGUGGGGAAUUUUGGACAAUGGGGGCAACCCUGAUCCAGCCAUGCCGCGUGCGUGAAGAAGGCCUUCGGGUUGUAAACCGCUUUUGUUCGGGAAGAAAUCCUCUGGGCUAAUACCCCGGGGGGAUGACGGUACCGGAAGAAUAAGCACCGGCUAACUACGUG